UGACAGUUUAUGGAUACAUGUCUUAACACAUUUGCAACCAGUGCAGAACCAGAUCAGCCUACACAUCUGUACAAUCUGAUCAGGAUCUCCACAGUUUGUUUUGACUGAGAAGCAACCAAUGAAGAUCCUGAUCAAACUGCACAGAUCGUCAAAUGCAUUUAAACAUGUAUCCAUUGGUUAGUAAGUUUAAAAACUUUGCAUUCUUAUUGAUAUGAUUAGCUUCCAACAGUCUUAAACUAAUUAAACAAUGCGUAUGCAACCUUCAUGAUGUCUAAAAUAAGCCUGACUGCAAUGAACAGUUAGUGUAAGCCUUGUAAUUUUAUCUACUUUGGCACCAAACAACGGUACAUCUUAUAUACAAAAGAUGAAGACAACUUCCAGGAUAUUUUUACAAGGCUAUUGUGAUUCAAAUAUGUAGCCAUGAACAGCAAAAUAGCAUGCAAGUGACUUAGUCUAGCAGCCAUACAUGCGAAUUAACAGGAGUGGAGAGUGUAAUUGAAAAAUGACCAAAUGUGUUACUUCAAGUGACAAUUAGCAAGAAAAAUUUUGAAUGAUAUUUGAUUUGCUUACUGACAUAGAUGUGUUAUUUUAUGCAUAUAAAUAAUAAACUUAUUCCAAUGGAAAAAGGUGUGAAGAAGUGAAAGUCAUUUUACACUCUCCUACAUACUCUCUUAAUCUAAGCUGAAACCAACAGUGAACAGAUGAAAUGAGCUACAGCAAAGCGGAUUAACUCUGAGCAGCGCUUACAUGAAAAUAAUACAGUAUAUGCCAACACCAGUCUCCAUGGAAAAAUCUGAAAUACUCAAGUAGACCUUCACAGAUCUUACUUUUCACUGUAUAGAAUAAGUACAUAAUUCUGCAAAAACAGUCUAGAAUUCAACUGGUUUAACUUGUAUCUUCUGUAAUUAAUCUAUCAACAACUGUAAAUCACUCUGCUCAUAAUCUUCACAUAAAUUAUAUGCAUAAAUAGCAUCAUCUUCUUCAUACUUUACAUUGUACCAAUCACCAAAUCCUGGUACAACAGAUAUUACAUAUCCUUUUAAAAAAAAACAGUUUUCUGCACUUGAAGUUGAGUCUGGAAUCUCUAAUUUCUGAUUACUGAAUUAGUGAAUACUGUUCUUUAAAAAUUAUAAUUUAUAACUUUAGUAUUAAAGUUCUAUUAAAUACUGUUUUAUAUAAUUAAAAAUUAUAAUUUAUGACCAGAAUUAAAGUUCUAGGCUGAUUUUUAGGGAGAGUACAGAAUUGUUUCAGAGUACACUAACAUCUAAUAUAAAUCACUGAAUCCCUAUUCUAAUAAUGCAACAUCUAUUCUAUAGGCUAUUCUUUACAUUCAACACCAUCAAUAACUGUUAUUGCGUAUUAUCAUCAGUAGUAGACAGUACUUUAAAGUUUAGUACGAACGAGUUUUGGUACGAAAAACAUAGCUUUACAUAUGUCUUAAACUCUGUAGAAACACAAAAAUAUAGCAAAUUCAUACAUGCAUACAAUCAAAAAAACAACUUUGCGUAGAAACAAACCACUGUCACAGGACAGAUGACGAUGUAUCUGUCGAUCUUUGUUUAUUUCUGUAGAAUUUUUCUGGAAAGAACAAACGUGAGACGGUGUGACCCUGGCAAAUUACCUCCCCUGUCGGCCGAGCACUUGCUCAGAAAAUGAGCUAAAUACUGGUAUAUCACGUUAAUAUACGAUCCUCAAGUGGCCCAAUUCUAAAGGAACAAAGAUAAAACUUUCAAAAAACCACAAAAACAGCAGCGUAUAUGGCCGUUUUGAUGAAAAGCGCGAGCUUUGUUUUUUUCGCUCCCUAUUCUCUUUACUAAAUGUCAACCGUAGAAGGAUAAAUAUGUCAUAUACGCCAUAUUUGGACUUAACCCCUCCCAUUUAUGCAGAUUUUUCAAUUGGUUAACCUUUAUUUUAUUCGUAUAAGUGCGUAUGAAACAUGCUAUAUUUUCGGGUCAGGUUUUGACUGGAACACCGAUUGCGCAAUAAUUUGCCUCGCACAUGCGCGGUUGUUGCUAACUAGAAGUCAUUUCAGGAACAGAAUCCAGGGAUCAUAAGAGAAAUGUAUAUAUAGCCAAUGAUGAUGAUACCUGCUGGCCAAUCACUGCCAAAGAUUAGAAUAACCUAUUCACAGAAAUAUGGCAUCUUUCACACAUAUGGAAUGGAACAUUUUUGCCAAGAUGCUACAUAAACUCUGACACCGAGAAUAUGGCACCUUUCACACAUAUGGAAUGGAAAAUUUUUGCCAAGACGCUACAUAAACUCUGACACCGAGAAUAUGGCACCUUUUACACAUAUGGAAUGGAACAUUUUUGCCAAGAGGCUACAUAAACUCUGACACCGAGAAUAUGGCACCUUUCACACAGUCAUAUGGAAUGGAACAUUUUUGCAAAGACGCAACAUAAACUCUGACACCGAACGUACAUUACGACUAGUAGGACAAUAAUGGUAACAUAAAUUACACCAUGUUAAAAACUCUUGUCUUCGGUAUUACUGCAGCCGGUCAGAUUUUGGAUUUAAUAAAUGUAUUUCAUGAAGUCACAUACAGGACAGUACCUAUUGUCAAAUUAACUGUGUCAUAUGACAUAAGCCCUGCUAAGUCAUUACUAACACUAAGUCUUGUCAACAAAUAUAUUUAUUGCUUAGACUUUAUGAUUUGAUUUUUGUCGAAAAAUAUGCAUAAUUUCUGCAGCAGAUCCUAGACUAGCGCAAUAUUAUUCUGAGAAAGAACAAAUUCAUAUUUCUGGAUGCAAAGCUAAUUUUCAUUACA
rnacentral:lncRNA from 1 species